GGUGAGGUGGGUGAGUGGCUGAAACCACCAGUUUGCUAAACUGGCGUACGUGCAAGCGUACCGGGGGUUCGAAUCCCCCUCUCACCG
rnacentral:tRNA from 2 species